rnacentral:rRNA from 1 species
AUUGAACGCUGGCGGCAUGCCUUACACAUGCAAGUCGAACGGCAGCACGGGAGCAAUCCUGGUGGCGAGUGGCGAACGGGUGAGUAAAGUAUCGGAACGUGCCCAGUCGUGGGGGAUAACGUAGCGAAAGUUACGCUAAUACCGCAUACGAUCUAUGGAUGAAAGCGGGGGAUCGCAAGACCUCGCGCGAUUGGAGCGGCCGAUAUCAGAUUCGGGAGUUGGUGGGGUAAAGGCUCACCAAGCCGACGAUCUGUAGCUGGUCUGAGAGGACGACCAGCCACACUGGGACUGAGACACGGCCCAGACUCCUACGGGAGGCAGCAGUGGGGAAUUUUGGACAAUGGGCGAAAGCCUGAUCCAGCCAUGCCGCGUGCAGGAUGAAGGCCUUCGGGUUGUAAACUGCUUUUGUACGGAACGAAAAGGUUUGGGCUAAUAAGCUGAGCUCAUGACGGUACCGUAAGAAUAAGCACCGGCUAACUACGUGCCAGCCGCCGCUGUAA